rnacentral:tRNA from 1 species
CGGGAAGUAGCUCAGCUUGGUAGAGCACUUGGUUUGGGACCAAGGGGUCGCAGGUACGAAUCCUGUCUUCCCGA